AACGAACGCUGGCGGCAUGCCUAACACAUGCAAGUCGAACGAGACCUUCGGGUCUAGUGGCGCACGGGUGCGUAACGCGUGGGAACCUGCCCUUAGGUUCGGAAUAACUCCCCGAAAGGGGUGCUAAUACCGGAUAAUGUCUUCGGACCAAAGAUUUAUCGCCUUUGGAUGGGCCCGCGUUGGAUUAGCUAGUUGGUAGGGUAAAAGCCUACCAAGGCGACGAUCCAUAGCUGGUCUGAGAGGAUGAUCAGCCACACUGGGACUGAGACACGGCCCAGACUCAUACGGGAGGCAGCAGUGGGGAAUAUUGGACAAUGGGCGAAAGUCUGAUCCAGCAAUGCCGCGUGAGUGAUGAAGGCAUUAGGGUUGUAAAGCUCUUUUACCCGGGAUGAUAAUGACAGUACCGGGAGAAUAAGCUCCGGCUAACUCCGUG
rnacentral:rRNA from 1 species